rnacentral:piRNA from 1 species
UGGCCAGUGUUUUGUCACAAUGACACACAA